GCUCAGGAUGAACGCUAGCUACAGGCUUAACACAUGCAAGUCGAGGGGUAGCAGGGUAGCAAUACCGCUGACGACCGGCGCACGGGUGAGUAACACGUAUCCAACCUUCCCAUAACUCGGGGAUAGCCUUUCGAAAGAAAGAUUAAUACCCGAUAGUACUUAUAUAAGGCAUCUUAAAUAAGUUAAAGAUUUAUUGGUUAUGGAUGGGGAUGCGUUCCAUUAGACAGUUGGUGAGGUAACGGCUCACCAAGUCUUCGAUGGAUAGGGGUUCUGAGAGGAAGGUCCCCCACAUUGGUACUGAGACACGGACCAAACUCCUACGGGAGGCAGCAGUGAGGAAUAUUGGUCAAUGGGCGAGAGCCUGAACCAGCCAA
rnacentral:rRNA from 1 species